AACAGGAUUAGAUACCCUGGUAGUCCACGCCCUAAACGAUGUCUACUAGUUGUCGGGUCUUAAUUGACUUGGUAACGCAGCUAACGCGUGAAGUAGACCGCCUGGGGAGUACGGUCGCAAGAUUAAAACUCAAAGGAAUUGACGGGGACCCGCACAAGCGGUGGAUGAUGUGGAUUAAUUCGAUGCAACGCGAAAAACCUUACCUACCCUUGACAUGGCUGGAAUCCCUGAGAGAUUGGGGAGUGCUCGAAAGAGAACCAGUACACAGGUGCUGCAUGGCUGUCGUCAGCUCGUGUCGUGAGAUGUUGGGUUAAGUCCCGCAACGAGCGCAACCCUUGUCAUUAGUUGCUACGAAAGGGCACUCUAAUGAGACUGCCGGUGACAAACCGGAGGAAGGUGGGGAUGACGUCAAGUCCUCAUGGCCCUUAUGGGUAGGGCUUCACACGUCAUACAAUGGUACAUACAGAGCGCCGCCAACCCGCGAGGGGGAGCUAAUCGCAGAAAGUGUAUCGUAGUCCGGAUUGUAGUCUGCAACUCGACUGCAUGAAGUUGGAAUCGCUAGUAAUCGCGGAUCAGCAUGUCGCGGUGAAUACGUUCCCGGGUCUUGUACACACCGCCCGUCACACCAUGGGAGCGGGUUUUACCAGAAGUAGGUAGCUUAACCGCAAGGAGGGCGCUUACCACGGUAGGAUUCGUGACUGGGGUG
rnacentral:rRNA from 1 species